rnacentral:lncRNA from 1 species
CUAUUAAAGAUCUCAAAGUCAUGGUGCAACAAUGGGCAGAUGAAGAAGACAAAGAGCGAGAACAGUUCGGCUCUCAUUGCAACCGUGGGCGCAACAAUAACAACCAUGACUAGGAUAGAAACCGACACAGCGAUACUCAAAACAACUUUUUGAGUAACCAAAAUCGCAAACGGAAACCUGACAACACCAUUGCUUCCAUGACUAACUCAUGGAAGAAGGGAUCCUGCAAAAACGAUGACGGACCAAGCUUCACCGAACUACUCAAAAAAUA